UGUUGCUGUGUUCUUUAAACCCCUC
rnacentral:piRNA from 1 species